rnacentral:rRNA from 14 species
AACUCUCAACGGUGGAUGUCUUGGUUCCCACAUCGAUGAAGAACGCAGCAAAGCGCGAUAGUUAGUGCGAAUUGCAGAAUCUCGUGAAUCAUCAAGUUUUUGAACGCAAGUUGCGCUCGUGGGUACUCCUGCGAGCAUGCCUGCCUGAGUGUC